rnacentral:rRNA from 1 species
GCAGCCUGAUCCAGCCAUGCCGCGUGGGUGAAGAAGGCCUUCGGGUUGUAAAGCCCUUUUGUUGGGAAAGAAAAGCAGUCGGCUAAUACCCGGUUGUUCUGACGGUACCCAAAGAAUAAGCACCGGCUAACUUCAUGCCAGCAGCCGCGAUAAUA